UACGUAGGGUCCGAGCGUUGUCCGGAAUUACUGGGCGUAAAGAGCUCGUAGGUGGUUUGUCGCGUUGUUCGUGAAAACUCACAGCUUAACUGUGGGCGUGCGGGCGAUACGGGCAGACUUGAGUACUGCAGGGGAGACUGGAAUUCCUGGUGUAGCGGUGGAAUGCGCAGAUAUCAGGAGGAACACCGGUGGCGAAGGCGGUUCUCUGGGCCUUACCUGACGCUGAGGAGCGAAAGCGUGGGGAGCAAACAGG
rnacentral:rRNA from 1 species